AGUGAACGCUGGCGGUAGGCCUAACACAUGCAAGUCGAACGGCAGCACAGUAAGAGCUUGCUCUUACGGGUGGCGAGUGGCGGACGGGUGAGGAAUACAUCGGAAUCUACUUUUUCGUGGGGGAUAACGUAGGGAAACUUACGCUAAUACCGCAUACGACCUACGGGUGAAAGCAGGGGAUCUUCGGACCUUGCGCGAUUGAAUGAGCCGAUGUCGGAUUAGCUAGUUGGCGGGGUAAAGGCCCACCAAGGCGACGAUCCGUAGCUGGUCUGAGAGGAUGAUCAGCCACACUGGAACUGAGGCACGGUCCAGACUCCUACGGGGAGCAGCAGUGGGGAAUAUUGGACGAUGGGCGCGAGCCUGAUCCAGCCAUACCGCGUGGGUGAAGAAGGCCUUCGGGUUGUAAAGCCCUUUUGUUGGGAGAGAAAAGCAGCAGGUUAAUACCCCGCUGUUCUGACGGUACCCAAAGAAUAAGCACCGGCUAACUUCGUG
rnacentral:rRNA from 1 species